rnacentral:rRNA from 1 species
UAGGGAAUCUUCGGCAAUGGGGGGAACCCUGACCGAGCAACGCCGCGUGAGUGAAGAAGGUUUUCGGAUCGUAAAGCUCUGUUGUUAAGGAAGAACGAGUGUGAGAAUGGAAAGUUCAUGCUGUGACGGUACUUAACCAGACAGGGACGGCUAACUACGUGCCAGCAGCCGCGGUAAUACGUAGGUCCCGAGCGUUGUCCGGAUUUAUUGGGCGUAAAGCGAGCGCAGGCGGUUAGAAAAGUCUGAAGUGAAAGGCAGUGGCUCAACCAUUGUAGGCUUUGGAAACUGUUUAACUUGAGUGCAGAAGGGGGGAGUGGAAUUCCAUGUGUAGCGGUGAAAUGCGUAGAUAUAUGGAGGAACACCGGUGGCGAAAGCGGCUCUCUGGUCUGUAACUGACGCUGAGGCUCGAAAGCGUGGGGAGCGAACAGG